rnacentral:rRNA from 3 species
AGACCCCAGGUCAGGCGGGGUUACCCGCUGAAUUUAAGCA